rnacentral:rRNA from 1 species
GACGAAGGUGGCGAGCGUUGUUCGGAAUCACUGGGCAUAAAGCGCACGUAGGCGGUGCCGUAAGUCGGAUGUGAAAUCCCUCGGCCUAACCGAGGAACUGCGUCCGAUACUGCGGUGCUUGAGGAUCAGAGGGGUGCAUGGAAUUUCCGGUGGAGCGGUGAAAUGCGUUGAUAUCGGAAGGAACUCCGGCGGCGAAAGCGAUGCACUGGCUGAUUUCUGACGCUGAGGUGCGAAAGCGUGGGGAGCAAACAGG